GGGUUAAGUGACGGAGCGUCAAGUGUCUGACAGACCGUCAAUCGGACCGUCACACGCCACGUUCAUUUUAUUUCCAGGUCAUUUUAAUAGGGGUAUUUUGGUCACUUACCACUCACCUAUAUAUACCCAGAUAAGUCCGAAUUCAGCCAUUAUACUCAUUACUAUUUCACAAACAAAAACUAGGGUUUCUCUCUGAAUUUAAUCCCCAAGAACAAG
rnacentral:lncRNA from 1 species